ACUGCAUUAGGCCCUGUUUAGUGGGGUUGGCAAAAGCUGACCCGAUCUGAUAAUCCGACCCGAACCUGAUCUGAAAAUAGCGGGUUUGGAUUGAGAUUUUCGACCCGAUUAAGUAAAUGGGUCGACACUAACCUGACCUGAAGUUAAAUGGGUUAGGUUUGGGUUGAAAAUCUCAACCUGAAAUCAACCUGUGUAACCCGAUUAUUUAUAUGGGUCAAAAUCAGGUCGGGUUGACCCGACCUGAUAACCUGAAAAAGUUUAAAAAAAUAAAAAUUUUAAAACAGAAUUUAGUUUAGAAAGAACAAAUUUUUUGUAAAAAUAAAAAAAAAAAAAAAAAAAAAAAAAAAAAAAAAAAAAAAGAAUACAAGGUAGCUCACGUAGCUUGAUGUUUGAUACAAUAAUGGGCCAAGCCCAAAAUUACUUUCUUUUACCCUAAAUUAUGAUGCACUACUUUCUUUUACCCUAAUUUCUACUCACCACUCUCUCACUCUCUCGAUCAGUCAGUCUUUCACUCUCUCUCUCUAAAAAGUUAAGCGCCGCUUCCUCAGUUCCUUUCAUCCUCUGCUCAACGGCUCAAUUCUUCGGUUCCUCUUCAUUCACUCGGGGAAAUUUUGGCAUCCUGUUAUCACAAAGCUACGAAUGGAGGAUGCAACACACUACAUUUUAGAUUUUUAGAUAUUUUUCUUACUUUGGAUGUAUUUAAGUUUUACAUGAUUGUUCGAUCAUUGUAAUAUAAUUCUAAUAUCUAGAUCCUGCACUUUUGUUUUGGUUUUAUGUUUAUGGUAAUCACAGUCGUUAUUUUCUCAA